UACGUAGGGCGCAAGCGUUGUCCGGAAUUAUUGGGCGUAAAGAGCUCGUAGGCGGUCUGUCACGUCGGAUGUGAAAGCCCGGGGCUUAACCCCGGGUCUGCAUUCGAUACGGGCAGACUAGAGUGUGGUAGGGGGAGAUCGGAAUUCCUGGUGUAGCGGUGAAAUGCGCAGAUAUCAGGAGGAACACCGGUGGCGAAGGCGGAUCUCUGGGCCAUUACUGACGCUGAGGAGCGAAAGCGUGGGGAGCAAACAGG
rnacentral:rRNA from 1 species